rnacentral:rRNA from 1 species
UACGGGGGGGGCAAGCGUUGUUCGGAUUUAUUGGGCGUAAAGAGCGUGUAGGCGGCCAGGUAGGUCCGUUGUGAAAACUCGAGGCUCAACCUCGAGACGCCGAUGGAAACCAUCUGGCUAGAGUCCGGAAGAGGAGAGUGGAAUUCCCGGUGUAGCGGUGAAAUGCGCAGAUAUCGGGAAGAACACCCGUGGCUAAGGCGGCUCUCUAGUACGGUACUGACGCUGAGACGCGAAAGCGUGGGGAGCGAACAGG